GUGCAGCAGGACACGCCGACAGUGGCCUCGGGUAGCUCGUCGUCCUCCGUCCACUCGUUGAGCUCGGGGCUGAAGCACUGGAUGCACUUCUUGUACUUCUUCUCGCCCUCGUUCCAGCCCCCCACCAGAGAUGGCUGGAACAAAAACUUCAGAGGCGGUGCAUGUUGGAAACAUCUGAAGAGAAAUCUCCAGUACAGAAAGUGCCAGGAGCAAAUCAAAGAAGCUUCUACUGUGGUUUGCUUCUAAGCAAUUCUACUUGGUCCCACCUCCUUGACUCAGAAAUAAUGCAAUGAAUGUGACAAGCCUAAGAUGAAUGAGAUGUCAACAUGAUGGCGGUGACAUGAUACAAAAAACUCCAACAUGUAUAUAGAAUUGUACGUAUACGGUUGAGAGAUGAUCCAAUUUACAGAACAGAUAUUUUUCAGUGGGACUUGUUUGGUCUUUUCCUUGACAUCAAACAUUAAAAUAGUGGUAGCAUGAAGCCACUGUCACCUAAAAGUUUAAACCUGAAAAGCUUACCUUCAAA